rnacentral:rRNA from 1 species
AGCCAACUGUGUUAUGAAUUAAUGUGAACUGCAUACUGCUUUGAGCAUCGACAUCUUGAACGCAUAUUGCGGCCAUGGGUUAGCCUGUGGCCACGCCUGUCCGAGAGUCGGCUU